UUUACCAUUCUCGAAAGGAGUGUACUCGACCCUGUAGGUCCCAUCGGCCUUGUCGUUGACCAGGCAGUCUGUCAGCGCUCCGGAUGGGUUCCUGACCUCCGCCUUCACGUGUUCGCCACCUCGCCGGGUCAGAGAAUGGGCGUCCACAGUGAACUCUGUGGUGGCUUCUCUGAAAAUACCUGGAGGAGAGAACUACACACAGACUCAGAUGGACCAUAGUGCACCUUUUCCUUCCACUCCAGGUCCGAACACUUUGACCGUGGAAGUGUCGACAGCAGGAUCCACCAUCACCUUGGCAGGGAAACCAGGGACGGCCUUGCCCCCGUACUUCAGCAGCAGGGUGUACAUCCCGGAAGUCAGGGGGACAUAGGUCACGGUGUAGGUUCCGUCUUUGUUGUCCACGACCUCUGUCUUAGCUUUAACACCUGGAACAAACAGUCAAGUUUUUACACUUGUAUCACAGAACUGAACACUUUUGUAGAAUUUGGUGAACCAUUCUUGUGGUUUUCCACGUCCAGCAAUUUCUUUAGGUUAUUUCAAUGUGAAGUGAGUCUCAAAGGGGACAUCUUGACACAAACUUGGGACCUGCAGCAAUACAAUGGACAGUUGUACUGAUCUUCUCAUGUUACUUAUGUAAAGUGAAUUAGCAUAUUUCCCAAAAUAUGGAACUAUUCCUUUAAAAUCAUACAGGAUGAUGACUGGUAUCUACUCGCAGCAGGGUUCAAGUGUUUGCAUCCAGACUUGCACAGAAAUGAACUGAAACCAAUGACUGCCUAGACGAAAUUAAAUAUACAUUGCAACUAA